UGGUAAUGCCGGAUGUUCCACAUGAUCGCAUGUGAUUGUGGGAAAGAUUCUAUCGGCGUGGGAUGGGGUCGCGUCCUAUCAGCUUGUUGGUGAGGUAACGGCUCACCAAGGCUUCGACGGGUAGCCGGCCUGAGAGGGCGACCGGCCACAUUGGGACUGAGAUACGGCCCAGACUCCUACGGGAGGCAGCAGUGGGGAAUAUUGCACAAUGGGCGCAAGCCUGAUGCAGCGACGCCGCGUGAGGGAUGGAGGCCUUCGGGUUGUAAACCUCUUUUGUUUGGGAGCAAGCCUUCGGGUGAGUGUACCUUUCGAAUAAGCGCCGGCUAACUACGUGCCAGCAGCCGCGGUAAUACGUAGGGCGCAAGCGUUAUCCGGAUUUAUUGGGCGUAAAGGGCUCGUAGGCGGCUCGUCGCGUCCGGUGUGAAAGUCCAUCGCUUAACGGUGGAUCUGCGCCGGGUACGGGCGGGCUGGAGUGCGGUAGGGGAGACUGGAAUUCCCGGUGUAACGGUGGAAUGUGUAGAUAUCGGAAAAAAAACACC
rnacentral:rRNA from 1 species